CCUACGGGGGGCAGCAGUGGGGAAUAUUGCACAAUGGGGGGAACCCUGAUGCAGCCAUGCCGCGUGUGUGAAGAAGGCCUUCGGGUUGUAAAGCACUUUCAGUAAGGAGGAAAGGGAUGUAGUUAAUAACUGCAUUCUGUGACGUUACUUACAGAAGAAGCACCGGCUAACUUCGUGCCAGCAGCCGCGGUAAUACGAGGGGUGCAAGCGUUAAUCGGAAUUACUGGGCGUAAAGCGUUCGUAGGCGGUUGAUUAAGCAAGAUGUGAAAGCCCAGGGCUCAACCUUGGAACUGCAUUUUGAACUGUUCAACUAGAGUACUGUAGAGGGUGGUGGAAUUUCCAGUGUAGCGGUGAAAUGCGUAGAGAUUGGAAGGAACAUCAGUGGCGAAGGCGGCCACCUGGACAGAUACUGACGCUGAGGAGCGAAAGCUGGGGAGCGAACAGGAUUAGAUACCCUGGUAGUCCACACCGUAAACGAUGUCAACUAGCCGUUUGUGUCCUAGAGACGUGAGUGGCGCAGCUAACGCACUAAGUUGACCGCCUGGGGAGUACGGCCGCAAGGUUAAAACUCAAAUGAAUUGACGGGGGCCCGCACAAGCGGUGGAGCAUGUGGUUUAAUUCGAUGCAACGCGAAGAACCUUACCAUCCCUUGACAUCCCAGAGAAGAGACUAGAGAUAGACUUUUGCCUUCGGGAACUCUGUGACAGGUGCUGCAUGGCUGUCGUCAGCUCGUGUUGUGAAAUGUUGGUUAGUCCCGCAACGAGCGCAACCCCUAUCCUUAUUUGCCCAGCGAGUUAUGUCGGGAACUCUAAGGAGACUGCCGGUGAUAAACCGGAGGAAGGUGGGGACGACGUCAAGUCAUCAUGGCCCUUACGGGAUGGGCUACACACGUGCUACAAUGGCAGGUACAGAGGGCAGCGAUACCGCGAGGUGGAGCGAAUCCCAGAAAGCUUGUCGUAGUCCGGAUUGGAGUCUGCAACUCGACUCCGUGAAGUCGGAAUCGCUAGUAAUCGUAGAUCAGAAUGCUACGGUGAAUACGUUCCCGGGCCUUGUACACACCGCCCGUC
rnacentral:rRNA from 1 species